AGGCUCCUGCCGAUGAACCCAAAAAACCAGUAAGCGUGAUGUGAAAAACUAUUCACCUGAGCUCACUCGGCGCAACAGGAGUUUGGUCUGCACUCACCGACGUCUGAGCAGGCUAGCUGGGCAAGGCUGGUCACAGACGACAGGUGCUCUCGCUGACCGAGGGGGGUUCCGCCUGAGGGCAGUCUGGUGGCCUGAGGGGAGGCGCCCCGUUUGGCGAGUCACUGUCUGGCAGGCAGAAACCUCAGACUGAUAACAGUGGAGGGUUGCUGCAGAGAAGUUAUCAUGAGAAAUGGGAAUUUGGAUGUAACAGAAAGGAUUUGAGAGACGAGGAGGGAUUUUGGUACAAGAAUGCCCCCCUGGUCCACCUUGGAAACCGAGGCAGUGUAAAGGUUGGAAGAAAUCCACAAAGUGUGCGGGCUGCAGAGCCACGGCUUGGGUCCAGAGAGGCCACCUAACCAGUCACCGGGACUCCCUCCACCCCCACGACAGGCUCGGCUCCCUUGCAAAGAACCAAGGCUUUUUGCUUAUGGGUUGAGGAAUAUUCUGGUUGUGUCCAACACUCAGAAACUGCGUGUGACUCUAAGAUCAACGGUUAAUUACCCCGAAGCAAGCAGCCUCGACCCCCAACACACACAAACAAAGCUCAUGGAUUUCAUUCAAGUUGUAACGUCCAGGCCCAUCCAGUCCCCGUACGCCCAGUGGAAUUAUCUUCCUAAAAUCUGGACCUAUCCCUGUUGGAAGCCUUCAUCAGCUGCCCAUCAUAUUAAGGAAAAGGCACAGCGCUUCGGUGACUGUCCAGCCCUGAGCGCGGGCUCGGUGGUGUUCGCGAUCCAGAACGAGUGUCCACGUUUCCCACGAAGCUGACCCUCCUCUUUCCAGCAAAAGCUCCUCCGGCCUUUCCCGUCUCAAAAUCCCUUGUUUUCUCUCAAAUCCCAGCUCAAAUAUCACCACUGCUUUGAAGUGUUUAGAGCUUUUUCCUUUUCCUAUUUUCCGAGUUAAAAUUAAUCAGUUUGUGCUCCCAGGAGAUUUAUCCAGACCCAAUUAGAG
rnacentral:lncRNA from 1 species